GUGGGGAAUAUUGGACAAUGGGCGAAAGCCUGAUCCAGCCAUGCCGCGUGUGUGAAGAAGGUCUUCGGAUUGUAAAGCACUUUAAGUUGGGAGGAAGGGCAGUAAGUUAAUACCUUGCUGUUUUGACGUUACCAACAGAAUAAGCACCGGCUAACUUCGUGCCAGCAGCCGCGGUAAUACGAAGGGUGCAAGCGUUAAUCGGAAUUACUGGGCGUAAAGCGCGCGUAGGUGGUUCAGCAAGUUGAAGGUGAAAUCCCCGGGCUCAACCUGGGAACUGCCUCCAAAACUACUGAGCUAGAGUACGGUAGAGGGUAGUGGGAUUUCCUGUGUAGCGGUGAAAUGCGUAGAUAUAGGAAGGAACACCAGUGGCGAAGGCGACUACCUGGACUGAUACUGACACUGAGGUGCGAAAGCGUGGGGAGCAAACAGGAUUAGAAACCCGAGUAGUCC
rnacentral:rRNA from 1 species